rnacentral:rRNA from 1 species
AGCAGCCGCGGUAAUUCCAGCUCCAAUAGCGUAUAUUAAAGUUGUUGCAGUUAAAAAGCUCGUAGUUGAAUUUCGGGAUCAAUAUGUUGGUCGUGCCUUGGUACGUACUGGCAUUAUCGAUUCCUACCUUCUGAAGAACCUCGAUGUCAUUAAUUUGGUGUCUUGGGGAAUCAGGACUGUUACUUUGAAAAAUUAGAGUGUUUAAAGCAGGCUCGCGCUUGAAUACAUUAGCAUGGAAUAAUGAAAUAGGACGUUUGAUUCUAUUUUGUUGGUUUCUAGG